rnacentral:rRNA from 1 species
AUUGAACGCUGGCGGCAUGCCUUACACAUGCAAGUCGAACGGCAGCGGACCUUCGGGUGCCGGCGAGUGGCGAACGGGUGAGUAAUGCAUCGGAACGUACCUUUCAGUGGGGGAUAACGUAGCGAAAGUUACGCUAAUACCGCAUAUUCUGUGAGCAGGAAAGCAGGGGAUCGCAAGACCUUGCGCUGAUUGAGCGGCCGAUGUCAGAUUAGCUAGUUGGUGAGGUAAAGGCUCACCAAGGCGACGAUCUGUAGCGGGUCUGAGAGGAUGAUCCGCAACACUGGGACUGAGACACAGCCCAGACUCCUACGGGAGGCAGCAGUGGGGAAUUUUGGACAAUGGGGGCAACCCUGAUCCAGCCAUGCCGCGUGAGUGAAGAAGGCCUUCGGGUUGUAAAGCUCUUUCGGCCGGGAAGAAAUCGCACAGGCUAAUACCUUGUGUGGAUGACGGUACCGGAAUAAGAAGCACCGGCUAACUACGUGCCAGCAGCCGCCGUAACAC